ACUCCUACGGGAGGCAGCAGUGGGGAAUAUUGCACAAUGGGCGCAAGCCUGAUGCAGCCAUGCCGCGUGUAUGAAGAAGGCCUUCGGGUUGUAAAGUACUUUCAGCAGUGAGGAAGGUGGGUAUGUUAAUAGCACUAUCAUUUGACGUUAGCGACAGAAGAAGCACCGGCUAACUCCGUGCCAGCAGCCGCGGUAAUACGGAGGGUGCGAGCGUUAAUCGGAAUUACUGGGCGUAAAGCGCAUGCAGGUGGUUUGUUAAGUCAGAUGUGAAAGCCCGGGGCUCAACCUCGGAAUAGCAUUUGAAACUGGCAAGCUAGAGUACUGUAGAGGGGGUAGAAUUUCAGGUGUAGCGGUGAAAUGCGUAGAGAUCUGAAGGAAUACCGGUGGCGAAGGCGGCCCCCUGGACAGAUACUGACACUCAGAUGCGAAAGCGUGGGGAGCAAACAGGAUUAGAUACCCUGGUAGGAUAG
rnacentral:rRNA from 1 species